ACUAGGGCCUAAAUAGCUUUAAAGACACCAGAUCCCAUGCAAUCUUGGAAGCUAAGCAGGGCCAGCCCUGGUUAGCAUUUGGAGAGGAGAUCAACAAAAAAUACCAGGUGGUGUAGGCU
rnacentral:rRNA from 1 species